UUCCCCGGAGGCCCGGACGCGACGGGCGGUUGAAGCCGCCGCAUCGGCAUCGAUCCCGUACGCUGCUGCCGCCAGAUUUCGGCGCCGAUGGUUCUUGCCCAGUCCGCAGUCUCCCCAGGUCUGCAGCUCGCAUCUACUUCAUCGGAGCCGAUCCCAUUCACUGGUACAGUUGGCUUCCCUUCGUCAGAUUCAUCAGCACAUCUCGUCGGUGCGUGUGCUUUUCCGCGGCGAGGAUCGGCGUCCCAGUCCUCCGGCUUCCAGACAGUCGGCGACCCCAUCCACACUGCAACUAUCCACUACAAGCGAUUACCCGGCAACUUGUUCUUCGACCCUGGGGACUAAGCGGCGGCUGACCUCCCACCUCUCUGGUAGGCGCGCACGCAUCUGGGUGUCCGAGUGAUGGGGAUCUCGUCAGACGCGGCGGCGGCAGUGGCUGACUGGCCGGAUCCUUGCCGGGGAGUAUCAAGGCGGAUCCGGUGCGCGGCGUUGUAGGCGGCGGAGCUGUGCAACCCGUGCAGUUGCGUUGCUCUCAGUUGCAACCUGAAUCGUCAAUCUGCUUUGCAGGGAGGUGUGUCUGUCCAGCGAUUACCAAUGGUUGCCGUAACUGGCUUGUGGUGCUCCACCUCACGUAGUUAGGAUAAUAUCAUAUCAUGUCAAUGGACCCUUUCUUCCUUUUUCUUUAGCAAUAUGUAUUUGUUACAAGGGACGUGUGUUCCCAAAAAUUUAGCAUCUAAUUUCCAGUUCUGUA